rnacentral:rRNA from 1 species
CUGGCGGCGUGCCUAACACAUGCAAGUCGAACGAGAAAGUGGAGCAAUCCAUGAGUAAAGUGGCGACCGGGUGAGUAACACGUGACUAACCUACCCUCGAGUGGGGAAUAACUCCGGGAAACCGGGGCUAAUACCGCAUAACAUCGCAAGAUCAAAGCAGCAAUGCGCUUGAGGAGGGGGUCGCGGCUGAUUAGCUAGUUGGCGGGGUAACGGCCCACCAAGGCGAAGAUCGGUAUCCGGCCUGAGAGGGCGCACGGACACACUGGAACUGAAACACGGUCCAGACUCCUACGGGAGGCAGCAGUGGGGAAUUUUGCGCAGUGGGGGAAACCCUGACGCAGCAACGCCGCGUGGAGGAUGAAGCCCUUUGGGGCGUAAACUCCUUUCGACUCGGACGAUGAUGACGGUACGAGUGGAAGAAGCACCGGCUAACUCUGUGCCAGCAGCCGCGGUAAUACAGAGGGUGCGAGCGUNGUUCGGAAUUAUUGGGCGUAAAGGGCGCGUAGGCGGUGCGGUAAGUCACCUGUGAAAUCUCCUGGCUUAACUGGGAGCCUGCAGGCGAAACUACCGUGCUG